rnacentral:tRNA from 1 species
GCUUCCAUGGCUCAGUGGCUAGAGCACCGGUCUUGUAAAUCAAUGCUUGCGAGUUUAAUUCUCACUGGGGUCU